rnacentral:miRNA from 10 species
ACGUAUUCGGCUCUCAGUACA